rnacentral:rRNA from 1 species
AUUGAACGCUGGCGGCAGGCCUAACACAUGCAAGUCGAGCGGGGGAAGGUAGCUUGCUACCGGACCUAGCGGCGGACGGGUGAGUAAUGCUUAGGAAUCUGCCUAUUAGUGGGGGACAACAUCUCGAAAGGGAUGCUAAUACCGCAUACGUCCUACGGGAGAAAGCAGGGGAUCUUCGGACCUUGCGCUAAUAGAUGAGCCUAAGUCGGAUUAGCUAGUUGGUGGGGUAAAGGCCUACCAAGGCGACGAUCUGUAGCGGGUCUGAGAGGAUGGUCCGCCACACUGGGACUGAGACACGGCCCAGACUCCUACGGGAGGCAGCAGUGGGGAAUAUUGGACAAUGGGGGGAACCCUGAUCCAGCCAUGCCGCGUGUGUGAAGAAGGCCUUAUGGUUGUAAAGCACUUUAAGCGAGGAGGAGGCUACUUUAGUUAAUACCUAGAGAUAGUGGACGUUACUCGCAGAAUAAGCACCGGCUAACUCUGUGCCAGCAGCCGCAGUAA